rnacentral:rRNA from 1 species
UGGGGAAUAUUGCACAAUGGGCGCAAGCCUGAUGCAGCCAUGCCGCGUGUAUGAAGAAGGCCUUCGGGUUGUAAAGUACUUUCAGCGGGGAGGAAGGGAGUAAAGUUAAUACCUUUGCUCAUUGACGUUACCCGCAGAAGAAGCACCGGCUAACUCCGUGCCAGCAGCCGCGGUAAUACGGAGGGUGCAAGCGUUAAUCGGAAUUACUGGGCGUAAAGCGCACGCAGGCGGUUUGUUAAGUCAGAUGUGAAAUCCCCGGGCUCAACCUGGGAACUGCAUCUGAUACUGGCAAGCUUGAGUCUCGUAGAGGGGGGUAGAAUUCCAGGUGUAGCGGUGAAAUGCGUAGAGAUCUGGAGGAAUACCGGUGGCGAAGGCGGCCCCCUGGACGAAGACUGACGGUCAGGUGCGAAAGCGUGGGGAGCAAACAGG